AUGAGGAUCAGGAGGAGGCCGCAGCAGCCCUCCCCCUACACCGCCGCCCUGCUGCACCACCAGCAGCAGUACCGCUCAGAUCCGUCCACAUCCACGCACCAGACCCCGCGGAAUGCGGAGGAGCGCGGCCAGGGACGCGGGGGCGACGAGGAGGAGGAGGGGCGGGCCAGGCCGCCGCAUCCGCAUGCCAAUGCGGAUCUCGGCCGCAAGCCCGCCGCCGCCAGGCGCCUGGCAUUGCCGCAGGACAAUGCAGUCGAGGGCCAGGGCGCGGCGGCGGAGCAUGGAGCUGACGGCGCUCACAGCAGCAGCAAUGGCCAUGGCGGCGUCGCCGGCUGGAAGCCGGACGUGGCAUGCACGGGCGCCGGCGAGCGGGCGGUGAAGGUGGAAGAUCCGGUCGCGAAUGGCGUGGCGGCGUUGUCGGACGUCAAGGAGGAGAAGAAUGGCAGCGGCGGCGCGGCUGGCGGGGCCAAGAAGCGGCGCGGCCCGGCGGUGCUGAUGGAGGGGUCACGGUGCAGCCGCGUGAACGGGCGCGGAUGGCGCUGCAGCCAGCCGACGCUGGUCGGCUACUCCCUCUGCGAGCACCACCUGGGCAAGGGCCGGAUGCGCAGUGCGGCGGCGGCCGCCGCAGCCGGCGUCGGUGGCGGCGGGCGCGGAGGCCCCGGCCAGCUCGGCCGCACCGAGCACCGGGCCAGGAUGCCCGUCGGUGUCGCGGUGACCACCGCGGCGGCCAAGGCGGAGGAGCCGGGCCUGCGGCCCUACUAG
rnacentral:rRNA from 1 species